rfam:Camelus ferus unplaced genomic scaffold scaffold304, whole genome shotgun sequence.
GAGGGUAUAGCUCAGUGGUAGAGCAUGCACUUAGUAUGCAUGAGGUCCUGGGUUCAAUCCUUAGUCCUUCCA